rnacentral:lncRNA from 1 species
GUAUGAUGAUGGCUGCCCAUAACCAGAUUGAUGGUAUCCACUAUAGCCAUACUGAGAAUAACCUUGUCCUGGUUGCAUAUAGCUAGAAGCUGGAGGUUGACUGUAAUUGUAACCACUGUUAUCAGCUGGAGUUACCGAAUCACCAGACGUUUGCUGCUGCUGCUGCUGUGAAGGCUGUUGGUUAUAGUAAUCAUAACCACUUGCAGCAGAGGUUUGCUGGUUUGGUUGUAUAGAUGACUGGUCCCAACCAGAGGCAUAUCCACCAGAUGAAGGUUGGGACGGGUAGCCCCCAUAAGGAGGCUGCGACAUGUUGUACUGCGAUGAUGGGCCAGGAUAUGCCCCAGGCUGCAUAUAAC